rnacentral:rRNA from 1 species
AUUGAACGCUGGCGGAAUGCUUUACACAUGCAAGUCGAACGGCAGCGCGGGGGCAACCCUGGUGGCGAGUGGCGAACGGGUGAGUAAUACAUCGGAACGUGCCCAGUCGUGGGGGAUAACGUAGCGAAAGUUACGCUAAUACCGCAUACGAUCUACGGAUGAAAGCGGGGGACCGUAAGGCCUCGCGCGAUUGGAGCGGCCGAUGUCCGAUUAGGUAGUUGGUGAGGUAAAGGCUCACCAAGCCGACGAUCUGUAGCUGGUCUGAGAGGACGACCAGCCACACUGGGACUGAGACACGGCCCAGACUCCUACGGGAGGCAGCAGUGGGGAAUUUUGGACAAUGGGCGCAAGCCUGAUCCAGCCAUUCCGCGUGCAGGACGAAGGCCUUCGGGUUGUAAACUGCUUUUGUACGGAACGAAAAGGCUCUGGUUAAUACCCGGGGCUCAUGACGGUACCGUAAGAAUAAGCACCGGCUAACUACGUGCCAGCCGCCGCUGUAA